rnacentral:rRNA from 1 species
GACGAACGCUGGCGGCGUGCUUAACACAUGCAAGUCGAACGGAAAGGCCUGCUUUCCCUUGUGGAUUGCGGGUACUCGAGUGGCGAACGGGUGAGUAACACGUGAGUGAUCUGCCCCCAACUUGGGUAUAAGCCUGGGAAACUGUGUCUAAUUCCCGAUAGGACUGCAGGGUGGUGCCUGUGGUGGAAAACGAUUUUCUAGUGGUUGGGGAUGAGCUCGCGGCCUAUCAGCUUGUUGGUGGGGUAAUGGCCUAUCAAGGCGGCGACGGGUAGCCGGCCUGGGAGGGUGGACGGACACAUUGGGACUGAGAUACGGCCCAGACUCCUACGGGAGGCAGCAGUGGGGAAUAUUGCACGAUGGGCGGAAGCCUGAUGCAGCGACGCCGCGUGGGGGAUGACGGCCUUCGGGUUGUAAACUCCUUUCGACCGCGAGGAAGCCACCUGGUUGGAAGGGUGGUGACGGUAGUGGUAGAAGAAGCACCGGCUAACUACGUG